AUUGAACGCUGGCGGCAUGCCUUACACAUGCAAGUCGAACGGCAGCACGGGAGCAAUCCUGGUGGCGAGUGGCGAACGGGUGAGUAAUAUAUCGGAACGUGCCCAGUCGUGGGGAUAACGUAGCGAAAGCUACGCUAAUACCGCAUACGAUCUAUGGAUGAAAGCGGGGGAUCGCAAGACCUCGCGCGAUUGGAGCGGCCGAUAUCAGAUUAGGUAGUUGGUGAGGUAAAGGCUCACCAAGCCGACGAUCUGUAGCUGGUCUGAGAGGACGACCAGCCACACUGGGACUGAGACACGGCCCAGACUCCUACGGGAGGCAGCAGUGGGGAAUAUUGGACAAUGGGGGCGAACCCUGAUCCAGCAAUGCCGCGUGAAUGAUGAAGGCCUCGGUU
rnacentral:rRNA from 1 species